rnacentral:rRNA from 1 species
AAGCAUCAGGUAACAUCAAAUCGUACCCCAAACCGACACAGGUGGUCAGGUAGAGAAUACCAAGGCGCUUGAGAGAACUCGGGUGAAGGAACUAGGCAAAAUGGUGCCGUAACUUCGGGAGAAGGCACGCUGAUAUGUAGGUGAAGCGACUUGCUCGUGGAGCUGAAAUCAGUCGAAGAUACCAGCUGGCUGCAACUGUUUAUUAAAAACACAGCACUGUGCAAACACGAAAGUGGACGUAUACGGUGUGACGCCUGCCCGGUGCCGGAAGGUUAAUUGAUGGGGUUAGCCGCAAGGCGAAGCUCUUGAUCGAAGCCCCGGUAAACGGCGGCCGUAACAAUAACGGUCCUAAGGUAGCGAAAUUCCUUGUCGGGUAAGUUCCGACCUGCACGAAUGGCGUAAUGAUGGCCAGGCUGUCUCCACCCGAGACUCAGUGAAAUUGAACUCGCUGUGAAGAUGCAGUGUACCCGCGGCAAGACGGAAAGACCCCGUGAACCUUUACUAUAGCUUGACACUGAACAUUGAGCCUUGAUGUGUAGGAUAGGUGGGAGGCUUUGAAGUGUGGACGCCAGUCUGCAUGGAGCCGACCUUGAAAUACCACCCUUUAAUGUUUGAUGUUCUAACGUUGACCCGUAAUCCGGGUUGCGGACAGUGUCUGGUGGGUAGUUUGACUGGGGCGGUCUCCUCCUAAAGAGUAACGGAGGAGCACGAAGGUUGGCUAAUCCUGGUCGGACAUCAGGAGGUUAGUGCAAUGGCAUAAGCCAGCUUGACUGCGAGCGUGACGGCGCGAGCAGGUGCGAAAGCAGGUCAUAGUGAUCCGGUGGUUCUGAAUGGAAGGGCCAUCGCUCAACGGAUAAAAGGUACUCCGGGGAUAACAGGCUGAUACCGCCCAAGAGUUCAUAUCGACGGCGGUGUUUGGCACCUCGAUGUCGGCUCAUCACAUCCUGGGGCUGAAGUAGGUCCCAAGGGUAUGGCUGUUCGCCAUUUAAAGUGGUACGCGAGCUGGGUUUAGAACGUCGUGAGACAGUUCGGUCCCUAUCUGCCGUGGGCGCUGGAGAACUGAGGGGGGCUGCUCCUAGUACGAGAGGACCGGAGUGGACGCAUCACUGGUGUUCGGGUUGUCAUGCCAAUGGCACUGCCCGGUAGCUAAAUGCGGAAGAGAUAAGUGCUGAAAGCAUCUAAGCACGAAACUUGCCCCGAGAUGAGUUCUCCCUGACUCCUUGAGAGUCCUGAAGGAACGUUGAAGACGACGACGUUGAUAGGCCGGGUGUGUAAGCGCAGCGAUGCGUUGAGCUAACCGGUACUAAUGAACCGUGAGGCUUAACCC